GAUGAACGCUGGCGGCGUGCCUAAUACAUACAAGUCGAGCGAACAGACGAGGAGCUUGCUCCUCUGACGUUAGCGGCGGACGGGUGAGUAACACGUGGAUAACCUACCUAUAAGACUGGGAUAACUUCGGGAAACCGGAGCUAAUACCGGAUAAUAUAUUGAACCGCAUGGUUCAAUAGUGAAAGACGGUUUUGCUGUCACUUAUAGAUGGAUCCGCGCCGCAUUAGCUAGUUGGUAAGGUAACGGCUUACCAAGGCAACGAUGCGUAGCCGACCUGAGAGGGUGAUCGGCCACACUGGAACUGAGACACGGUCCAGACUCCUACGGGAGGCAGCAGUAGGGAAUCUUCCGCAAUGGGCGAAAGCCUAACGGAGCAACGCCGCGUGAGUGAUGAAGGUCUUCGGAUCGUAAAACUCUGUUAUUAGGGAAGAACAAAUGUGUAAGUAACUAUGCACGUCUUGACGGUACCUAAUCAGAAAGCCACGGCUAACUACGUG
rnacentral:rRNA from 1 species